rnacentral:rRNA from 1 species
CAUAAACGUCAGCAAGACUGCAUGUGCGGUAUUGCAUCAUACACGAUGCUGUAACGUCACACUGUCGCACCGCUCUGAGAUGUUCACGCGAAGGGGUACGUACCGUGCUUGUAGCAGCGGUGCGUUUCUCCCAUACAAGCCGCUCGGGCUCUGGCGGUGUGUAGCACAGUACCAACUGGGGUUNUACUGUAAAGAACGCAGGGGCUACGUCGUACUCACUAGAACACUGUCUACGGUCAUCCAAAACGAUGUCUGCAGCGCUACGUCUACCACGUAUGUCUAUAACUUGAACCUCAAAUCAGGUAGGACUACCCGUCUGAACUAAGAGUAUCAUUAAGCGGAGG